rnacentral:rRNA from 1 species
AGAGUUUGAUCCUGGCUCAGGACGAACGCUGGCGGCGUGCCUAACACAUGCAAGUCGAACGGGGUUGUGAGAGCUUGCUUUUGCAACCUAGUGGCGGACGGGUGAGUAACGCGUGAGUAACCUGCCUUACAGAGGGGGAUAACGUCUGGAAACGGACGCUAAUACCGCAUGACAUAUAAUUACCGCAUGGUAAAGAUAUCAAAGGAGCAAUCCGCUGUAAGAUGGACUCGCGUCCGAUUAGCUAGUUGGAGGGGUAACGGCCCACCAAGGCGACGAUCGGUAGCCGGACUGAGAGGUCGAACGGCCACAUUGGGACUGAGACACGGCCCAGACUCCUACGGGAGGCAGCAGUGGGGGAUAUUGCACAAUGGGGGAAACCCUGAUGCAGCAACGCCGCGUGAGGGAAGACGGUUUUCGGAUUGUAAACCUCUGUCAUCGGUGACGAUAAUGACGGUAGCCGAUGAGGAAGCUCCGGCUAACUACGUGCCAGCAGCCGCGGU